rnacentral:lncRNA from 1 species
AUGUUGAUGGCAGCUGCACAUUUGGCCAUGAGUGGUGUCACAACUGCCAAAGCCUCAUUCAUGAUUUUGACUCUGCUGUGUCUGGUCGAUUUUUCAAGUUCAGUGAUAAACAGGGAUCAACUGGAGGUACUGAAAGCAAACAUUCAAAGAUUACAACAAGAAACAAUGAGAAGGAAGGUGAGUCUGUCAAUAUCAAUGUUGAGAACAUCCAUAACUGCUAAUAUAAAAACUCCCAUCAUAUCCAAGUCUUUUUGCACUCUUUACACUACAUAUUUUUGUAUAUUUUGUUACAAUAAUUUGGUUUAUUUUUGUGCUCCAGGCUGAAAAUAAUUUGGACAGAGCCUACAUUCCAGCUAUUUUUGAUGAUAUUAAACAUCUCAUGAAUCCUAUGUCCGAAUUUUUGAAGUCAUUGAAUCUUCCUACAUCGCUGUUUAUACCAAUACUGGAUUUAAUGGAUGACACAGAAACCUUUCUGGAAGCCAGCAAGAAGUACAUAAAUAAGUACUUGGAGUCAACAGCUGCAGUAUUCAAGGACAAUGAACAGAAGCUAAGCAGUGUGAUGGCAAUAUUAACACAACUAGAAAAGCAUAAAGAUGAAUUGUAACAUAUUAGUCAUCGUCUGUCUCUAGUAUUACAUGUUCUGUAUUUGUAAAACUUCUCUUUCAUACUGUGCAUGGUUAGAGCCAAGAAAUAAUUUUGUCAUAUUAUCUUUUCAUUGUCUUUGUUAUAAUUGAGUUCAAAUGCAAACACGAAACACUGAACUGAGAUUAUAUCUAAGUAACCUUAAUAACACUGACAAUUGUUAAUGAUUUAAAUGAUGAAAGCCUUUUAAUGUGAAUAAAGACAUUAAUACUGUUAUUAUUUCAUGUUUUUUUGCAUUGUGAUGUUCGUGAGAAAAGAGAAAAGAGCAAACACUAGAGGCUGAUCGUUCUCUAGUGUUUGCUCACUGCCCAAAAUGUAAAUUCUUUAAGCCACAAAAUGCAGAACACCUAUCAGCCAAUCCUCUGAUGUAGGCCGUCUGUGUGUGUAUGUGUGUGUGUGUACUGUUAUUCCACACUAUAGACUAGAUGUUUUAUACUGGUGUUAAAGGGAGAGUUUAGUCCUACACUCAAUCACAU